GUAAACACAUUGCGCUUUCUGGAGGCAAAAACAUUUCAAAGACACGUGACCAACAACAAACUUGAGUCUUACAUUGUGUGUCUGUGUGUGUGUAUACCGUUUCUGUGUGUGUUUGUGUGGAAUGGCUGACAUGCUCGGCUCGCGUGAGAAAUUACGUCAUGCGCCACGAAUUUCGUGUGUGUGGUUUUUUUUGUGUAUUUGCCACUUUCAACGUGUCUCGAUUAAAAACAUUAAGCUUCAGGCCGUUGAUGGAGUGAGAGUGAGUACGGAUAACAGAGAGAGAGAGAGAGACAACGAUGACGGGACAACGCAGCGUAUGAUUAUUAUUUCGAUUAUAAAAACGAAAUAAAACGAAUAACAAACCGAAAACCGAAUAACAGCAGCAACAAAAACAACGCACUGUUGCGCUCUGUAAUAAAAACAAAAUGUCGGCCGACAUGCCCGAGUGCAUGUGUGUGAGUGAGCAAGUGUCUGUGUGUUCGUGGUGUGCUGUUCACAUUCAUUCGUGCCGAUUGUUGUUGCCAAGCGCUCUCAGUCGCCCUGUUGGAUUUCGCUUUGGAAUUUGUCACGUUCACGUGUUUUAUUGUAUGCCGCUGCCGUGUUCGCUGGCCUCUGCUGUUCGGCUGCUGCCGCUGCUGCUGCUAUUGCCCCUCCUCGGCUGCUGUCUUGGGC
rnacentral:lncRNA from 1 species